rnacentral:rRNA from 1 species
AAACCGCCCAGAGGUAAACGGGUGGAUCCGCAAAGUCGGCCCGCGGAAUUCAGCGCGGCGCGCAGAACUGGGCUGCUGUGGUUUGGGAUCCCUGGGACCCAGCCGCGGCGUCGUUCGGGACUCCGCCGCGUGCACUUUCCGUGGGCAGAGUGCCACAACCGGUUCUGAGGCGGCUAAAAGCUUGGAGGGUUGUCGGUGGGGGCGCUUGCGUCCCUACCAGCCCUUCUGUGACGAGUCGCCCCAGGACCGAGGGAACGCCGCGCGCUUCGAGGCCACCCUCCCCUCCUGGUGAGUUCGACUGGGAGAGACUGGGCAACCGUGUCUCCCGACCGCUCAUCUGUGAUCGGCGUGGGGCUGGCCGGGCGUGCAUUGUCAAGGUUGGUGGCAAGUAUGUCGGCAUUCCACCCGACCCGUCUUGAA